GAAAGUCGUAGGUUAAUGUUAAGGUAUGGCACUGACAACCAUCUUAACACUAGGAGAAGUUCAAAAAUCUAGGCCCUGGUUCUUAUCCUCAAUGCUUUGCACCAGGCAGGAUAACAAAAUGUAACGCAGCUAUGAGAUAGAAGCAUCAGCCUCCUCAGGCAAACACUCUAGCCACUCGACCACAGUGUGUGUAUCACCACACUGGUGUUUCCAAUAUCCAAAUGUUUUGAUUCCCUGUCGAGAUAUUGAUCCAGCAUUGCUAAGAAUACCAACAGAUUCACUCCGAACCUUGUCAGUGACUAUAAAUGUUCUACUUAAAUUUAUGGCAAAACAUGACAAAUGACUCUUGAAUACUUCUUCACAAACAUUGCUGACCGUAUUUGUUCUUGGAUGUUUCUGCAUAUGAUAGUGCUUCAACACAUUUGAUGGUACUAACAGGUGCUGUGCUCAUAGCCAAGGCACCUUAGAUGUUGCAGUUUGUCCUGCAGAGUUGUCCACUCUCUAGGCAAGCCAGGAUGCGUCACAGUAGGUUUGAAUGCCAUGUUCCCCUUUUUUAGAGCCAAGAUUUGUCAGCAUUGUACUCAGUUGUUUCACCAUUGUGGUAAGCCAGUAUCACUCGGGUUUCACCUCCUGAUUUCAGAAGCACCCUGGGAGAGUAAUAGUAAUAGUGUUUAAAGCAGCAUGAAGCCCAGGAGGAAGCAUUAAGUCAUUGUAGAUCUUGGCCUCAUUCUUUUGGUAAAGUUUGCUUACUUUUAAAACUCUAUAAAAAUUAAAUUUAGUCAGUGAGAUAUUGAUGAAACCCAUCCUUCACCCGAGUGUCAAAAUAUCUUUUCUAUUUCUGAAAAUAUUUCUUUCAGGCACUAUCUUGUCACUAAACAUCUUGUGUCAUAAUUUUGCAACGACAAAAUGUCAAAAUACUGAAAUUUGUCUUGCAAAGAAUUGUGAAGGACAAAAUUUGUUUUAUCCAAAAUAGAUUAGGAGUUGGAUUAGACGACUUGAUGGUUAAGUUAUAUUAUUGGUACACUUGAUCCAAUAGUGCAGUAUGAUGGAUACGAUUACAUUUUUACCUCAUGAUUCCCUUUAAACAAAUCAGUGUUAUAAAAUACAUUGUCCUGUUUUUGCAAAGAUUAUGAGAACAUUAAAACAUUUACCCCUAAGCUUACGAGCAUGCAUGAUUAUGCAUUCCAUGUUAAAGUUCUUGUCUUCUUUACUUGAAUCUGCUGUGUUCACAGAUAUGAAUAAAGAGUUCUUAAAUUGGAUGCCCAGAUAAGUUAAUUUCAAGUAAUUGGUACCUUCAUUUUUUCCUAUAUUUUGAAGUCCAGUGCUGGGUCUCUAUCCACAAAACGUUACCUGUCGUAACUAUAUAGUUUAUCCUUGGCUUACGAAUCAUAGCACUUGUGGAUUGUGACCCUGGUGUAAAACUAAAGUGAUACUGGUGAGAUCUACUGAUUUGGUCACUGCACAGAGAUGCUAUAGAUGCUUCAAGACGUCAUUGAUCGUCCUGAGAUUCCGUUUAUUGGAACCAUUGGUGUAUCAGUUCUGUAUUAUAGCUUAAUUUGUGUUUCUUCAUUCAUUUGACUGUAAGAUGAAUACAUAUAUGCUGUUUUUUGCU